rnacentral:rRNA from 1 species
GACGUAGGGCGCGAGCGUUGUCCGGAUUUAUUGGGCGUAAAGAGCUCGUAGGCGGCUUGUCGCGUCGAAUGUGAAAACCCACGGCUCAACUGUGGGCUUGCAUUCGAUACGGGCAGGCUAGAGUUCGGUAGGGGAGACUGGAAUUCCUGGUGUAGCGGUGAAAUGCGCAGAUAUCAGGAGGAACGCCGGUGGCGAAGGCGGGUCUCUGGGCCGAUACUGACGCUGAGGAGCGAAAGCGUGGGGAGCGAACAGG